UACCAGCACCCCGAGUGGUCGGGACGUUUAUUGGGCCUAAAGCAUCCGUAGCCGGUUCUACAAGUCUUCCGUUAAAUCCACCUGCUUAACAGAUGGGCUGCGGAAGAUACUAUGGAGCUAGGAGGCGGGAGAGGCAAGCGGUACUCGAUGGGUAGGGGUAAAAUCCGUUGAUCCAUUGAAGACCACCAGUGGCGAAGGCGGCUUGCCAGAACGCGCUCGACGGUGAGGGAUGAAAGCUGGGGGAGCAAAAGGG
rnacentral:rRNA from 1 species